rnacentral:rRNA from 1 species
GUCCACGCCGUAAACGAUGGAUACUAGCUGUUGGGAGCAAUCUCAGUGGCUAAGCGAAAGUGAUAAGUAUCCCACCUGGGGAGUACGUUCGCAAGAAUGAAAACUCAAAAGGAAUUGACGGGGGGCCCGCACAAGCGGUGGAGCAUGUGGUUUAAUUCGAUGAUACGCGAGGAACCUUACCAAGGCUUAAAAUGUAGAUUGACAGAUUUGGAAACAGAUUUUCUUCGGACAAUUUACAAGGUGCUGCAUGGUUGUCGU